rnacentral:rRNA from 1 species
GAUGAACGCUGGCGGCGUGCCUAAUACAUGCAAGUCGAGCGAAUGGAUUAAGAGCUUGCUCUUAUGAAGUUAGCGGCGGACGGGUGAGUAACACGUGGGUAACCUGCCCAUAAGACUGGGAUAACUCCGGGAAACCGGGGCUAAUACCGGAUAAUAUUUUGAACUGCAUGGUUCAAAAUUGAAAGGCGGCUUCGGCUGUCACUUAUGGAUGGACCCGCGUCGCAUUAGCUAGUUGGUGAGGUAACGGCUCACCAAGGCAACGAUGCGUAGCCGACCUGAGAUGGUGUUCGGCCACACUGGGACUGAGAAACGGCCCAGACUCCUACGGGAGGCAGCAGUAGGGAAUCUUCCGCAAUGGACGAAAGUCUGACGGAGCAACGCCGCGUGAGUGAUGGAGGCUUUCGGGUCGUAAAACUCUGUUGUUAGGGAAGAACAAGUGCUAGUUGAAUAAGCUGGCACCUUGACGGUACCUAACCAGAAAGCCACGGCUAACUACGUGCCAGCCGCCGCAGUAA